GAAAAGAUGAGAAACAAAGGAGUUAAGAAACAGAUAAGUGGAGAGGAGAUGAGUUGGGUCCAUAAUGACAUCUUAACAUCUCGAACAGAGUGAGGAGAGAGGAAGAGAUGGAGGGCAGGAUGAAGUGUAAGACCUUUCAUGUGCAUGGAGUAUGGAGGAGAGGAGAAACCAAUAAGAGAUAUGAAUAGAGGAGAAAACCGAACGGAAAUAAGGACAUGGCAGAGAAGAGGAGAUCGGGGGACGUAAUGACAUAUGAAUAUUUGGAAAAGGUCAGUAUAAUUUUAUUUGCUUUAAUUACAUUUUAUAUAGUAGCAGGCCAGUCCGUGAGGCCCAUUGCACCAGUCAGGACCCGCCAGCUGU